ACGGAUAUCUUGGCUCAUGCAUCGAUGAAGAACGUAGCAAAAUGCGAUACUUGGUGUGAAUUGCAGAAUCCCGUGAACCAUCGAGUUUUUGAACGCAAGUUGCGCCCAAUGUCUUUUGGCUGAGGGCACGUCUGCUUGGGUGUCACAUAUCGUGUUGCUCCUAU
rnacentral:rRNA from 1 species